GAUGAACGCUAGCGGCAGGCUUAACACAUGCAAGUCGAGGGGUAUAGUUCUUCGGAACUAGAGACCGGCGCACGGGUGCGUAACACGUAUGCAAUCUACCUUUUGCAGAGGGAUAGCCCAGAGAAAUUUGGAUUAAUACCUCAUAGUAUGUGAGAAUGGCAUCAUUUUCACAUUAAAGUCACAACGGCAAAAGAUGAGCAUGCGUCCCAUUAGCUAGUUGGUAAGGUAACGGCUUACCAAGGCAACGAUGGGUAGGGGUCCUGAGAGGGAGAUCCCCCACACUGGUACUGAGACACGGACCAGACUCCUACGGGAGGCAGCAGUGAGGAAUAUUGGACAAUGGGCGCAAGCCUGAUCCAGCCAUGCCGCGUGCAGGAUGACGGUCCUAUGGAUUGUAAACUGCUUUUGUACAGGAAGAAACACUGGUUCGUGAACCAGCUUGACGGUACUGUAAGAAUAAGGAUCGGCUAACUCCGUGCCAGCAGCCGCCGUAAUAC
rnacentral:rRNA from 1 species